rnacentral:rRNA from 1 species
AUGCAGGCAGGAGUCGGUCUACUUGUCUCGGACGUGAUGCCUAUAUAUAUGAUCAUACCUAGAUAUUCUCAUAACUAUGCUCAAUUCUGUCAAUUGCUCAAUAGUGAUUUGUUCACCCACCGUAAAAUACUUAUGCUUUUGAGAGAAGCCACUAGUGAAACCUAUGGCCCCCGGGUCUAUCUUCAUCAUAUUAAUCUUCCAACACUUUGUUAUUGCCUUUGCUUUUAUUUUACUUUGCAUCUUUAUCAUAAAAAUACCAAAAAUAUUAUCCUAUCAUAUCUAUCAGAUCUCACUCUCGUAAGUGACCGUGAAGGGAUUGACAACCCCUUAUCGCGUUGGUUGCGAGGAUUUAUUUGUAUUGUGCAGGUGCGAGGGACUCGCGCGUAG